CCGCCUCGGCCCUGGCGUGGGAUUUGGAGGGACCUCGCCUGUCUCAGGGCGGGUGCAGGCGCAGCUUUGAGUCCCGGGCGGCCCCACCUGAGCCCCGGGGCAGGGGAAGAGCGAGGGAGGACAUUUCCUCCAGGCAGACUCCUCCUACGCCGUGACCAGGCGACCAGAGCGAUCGUAGCGGCCAAUCAGGUCUCCGCGGAAACCAACAGGCUGGUGCUAACGCGUGGAGAGAAACGCAAAGGACCUCCUGGGGGAGCGUAAGCAACUCCAAAAAAGAACAAGCGGGAGAAUGACCCCCUGAACUGAAGGCUUAACAAACAACUAGCGGAAUCAGGGCAGUGGCUCUGCUGGGAGACGCCGGGCUUCCCAGCCUAACCCCCUCAAGUCUGGACGUGGCGGUUCUCUGCUGGGUGGGGACCUGCCCUGCACGGAGUGGUUGGGGAGCAGCGGCCAGGACACACGCUCUGCCCGUGGGCAGCUCCGCCCAGGUGCGCAGGCCACGCCUCGCCCCCUCCAGCGACGGUGACCAGCCCCCGCCCACUCCCGAGGGCCGGGCCGCGCCAGAGGAGCCCAUCAACACUACCCCUCGCCUUCAGCUGACAUGCAAACGGAAGCUUCUUGCUGAAGCAGAGUUCCAGACACUGAAGCCCAGCUGGGGAGGGGUCAGAAGGCCCCUCGAUGACGACGCCUGGAGCCUCUGAGGCCCUGGAGCUGAGGGAGGGCCUGACCCCACAGACGGCCGCUGCGAGCAGCUGAGCCCGGGACCUGGCCAGCAGGGAACAUGCGCCUUCCAGGUUUGGGAGCAGUGACGGAGCUGAACGCACUGGAACCGCGGCAGAAGACGCUGUGUCCUCUCGGCCACAACACAUAAACUGGCAACAGGGAUGCCACAGACACGCGGGUGGGCGGCCACAGAGUCCAGGGCAGGUGCAGAGGGUCAGGACUGGGGUGGAUCCGGGUCAGCGCCCACUGAGCUAGCUGCUGGGCUGGGACCUCGGGGACUCCCUGACGGGCUUAAACGUGUCUGGCCCAGCACUGGUAGGGGGUGAACAUCAGCUCAAACAAUUCUUAUCUUAAAUAAAACCCAUCUGUACAUCAAAAAUUAUUUUAAAAGACCUAUAAGGUAAACAAAGUGAAACAACUGAUAAAUGCACUGGAGCUGGAGGGCUCAAAUUCUGAAACAGAGAAAGAUUUAGCAAGUCUACAGUAAAAUGAUUUACAAUCUACUUUAUAAAAGUUGGGCAGAAGAAAUGAUUGGAAAAUUAACAAGAGAAAAAGUGUUUGCAGAUGCAUGAAUGACCGUUCCACUCGGUCAGCAGCAGCAGGGCUGCCUGGAGGGGUGCAGCCCAGGAGGUGGGCGGGCGUCCUGGUCGCUUGGUCCCCUAUGUCCCUGGAGCCCCCACCCCCCGAAACCUCGCAAGGCCGUGCCCAGGGACCAGCUGGACCUGCUCUGAGUUACAGCUCGAGGACCUGGUCAAAGAGCUGAGCUGGGUGCACCCAGACCUCUCUUUCAGCCUCCUGCUCAGCCAGCAGCUCCAGGAACUCCGCCCGGGACGGAGCUCUGAGCAGCCCCCCAGCACGCGAGCAGAAAACUGAUGACGGAAACCCCAGCGGGGGUUGUUCUUCCUCCACUGGGAUGUCUCUUUAGAAGGUGUGAGAUGGUGUGAUAACUGGAAAAGCACUUGUGAUUGGAAGUCAAUUGGAUUUCUGAAAGUACAGUAUGAGGUUUCAUAUCCCAAGUGCUGCUAAACAGUGCAAACUUCAGGACAAAAAAAGACUAGAGAGAGACACCCCGGAACCUCCACACGGUUGAUGCUUGCUUGGUAAUUAUGGUUACGGUUUUGUUUUUGCUUUUCUUUCAUGUUUUCCUGUAGUUACCAAAUGCUGUACACAGAUGGGAAACUGGAGAGACAUACACACUUACUUUUCCUCUCUGACUGCAGGGAAGCGCUGGUGAUUGUACUGACUUAAACGUUUAUAGGUCUCCUUCAGAAUUUUGUUGACAUCUUCAGGUAAAUCAUUUUGAUCCAGCUUUCUAGAAUGGAGAUUAGUUUAAUCAAAUAUUAAAUAACCAAAAGAUCCUGUCAUAUUUCUUUAAAUUAUUCUAAAACCAAUUUAGUCUAUGAACUUGUGUCCUCCGCAAACAGAAGGCCUAGGUAACACCUCCUGCUUUCUCUCCACCGGUCUCCUGGUGACCCCUCACAGCUCCUCUGCCCGCACCCUAGGCCAGCCUCUGUCUUCCUCUGUCACUAAGAAGGAGCCCUGAGGAAACUAUGCACAAGCCAUGCACCCAGACCCAGUCCCACACCAACAGCCCACCUGGAAGGGAGGUGGGGUCCUUCCCAUCGGCUGGAUCCAACCCAGACCAGCUUCUGCCUCCCUCUGGAGAGCUGUCCUACCCACUCACACGCACCGGGACCUCCCCACGCACAUGCACCGGGACCUCCCCACGCACACGCACCGGGACCUCCCCACUCACACACCGGGAUCUCCUCACUGGUUGGGAGCCGCCGGGAUGCACCCAGUCCGUGACAAGGUAAUGGGACGAGAGAGGAACCUGCAAGGCAGCUCUUCCUCACACGGGGCUGCCCCGGGGGCCCAAUAUGUCCCCUCCGGAGCCGCCGGGACGAGAAAGGAAACUGCAAGGCAGCUCUUCCCCUCGAGGUUGUCCCAGGGGCCCGACCCAGUCCACUGGCCGUCGCUGAGGUUUUGUCAUCUCCCUGCAAACUGGACCGAGCCCCACAUCCCAGAUGUUCCCCCAAAUGUCUGCCCAUGGCUCUCCAAACCACUGUUCGCAGCAGCCCUUCCACGUCUCCGGCUUGGAGUCGCUGAGAACCUGACCGCCCCUCUCCACACGCGGGAGCUGACACCGUGAGAAGCGCUCUCGUCACUCCCUGACCCCGACACCAGACAGAGGCGCCGCUCAUCAGGAGCCCGGCGCAUCCCUGCCUCCCGAGGAGACGCCCUGCCGGUCUUUGUCCUGAGUGAUCACGACUCGGUCCGCUGUCAGGCACGGAUGCAGGAUUCAAAGCCUCUUCCCCUCAGGCUCCCAAAGCUCUGUGCCCCAGCGCACUCCGGAAGACCAGGCGCCCCAUGGAGCAGAAGCCGGAGGAAACAUCCUUCACUGGAGGAAACAUCAAGAAAAACAGUACUUGAACUUUGUUGGAAGGGACCUGACUACUGCAAACUCUACAAUUACAGCGAAAAUCUAUAUAACUCUGCAGCCAGUGGUAUUAGCCAAGGGGGAAGCUUCGGACAGUUCACUAGCCAAACAGGAAACAGUAUAUGUCAAUUCAUCACGUGCCUGUGUCAACAGCUCAGAAAAAAUGGAACUGCAGUUACUUGGCUUGGAAAAGUCAAACCUGAAUCUUACCAUAAUUUAAACAAUUAGCAUAAUUAAUUAUUCGGUUGAUUGAUUACAAUAAUUGGUUAAUUUGGGGCCUAUGGAGCAUGGCCUCGGUAUUACCCUGCCAGGCUUCUUGGGUUUGUACAUUUAUGUUUUUCAUCAAGCUUAAGAAAUCUGGCCUUUGUGCCUUCAAAUUUUUUCUGCCCCAAUGUCUUUCUGCUCGAUUUCUGAGGCGCCAAUAAGCU